rnacentral:rRNA from 1 species
CAGCACCACGGUAAUACGGAGGGGGCUAGCGUUGUUCGGAAUUACUGGGCGUAAAGCGCACGUAGGCGGCUUUGUAAGUUAGAGGUGAAAGCCUGGGGCUCAACUCCAGAAUUGCCUUUAAGACUGCAUCGCUUGAACGUCGGAGAGGUGAGUGGAAUUCCGAGUGUAGAGGUGAAAUUCGUAGAUAUUCGGAAGAACACCAGUGGCGAAGGCGGCUCACUGGACGACUGUUGACGCUGAGGUGCGAAAGCGUGGGGAGCAAACAGGAUUAGAUACCCCGGUAGUCCCUGUCUCUUAUACA